rnacentral:rRNA from 1 species
GAAAUAGCUUUAGGGCUAGCGUCGAAAUGUAAGUGUAUUGGAGGUAGAGCACUGUUUGGGUGAGGGGUCCGUCUAGGAUUACCAAUCUCAGAUAAACUCCGAAUGCUAAUACACAUGUUCGGCAGUCAGACUGCGAGUGCUAAGAUCCGUAGUCGAAAGGGAAACAGCCCAGACCAACAGCUAAGGUCCCAAAAUAUAUGUUAAGUGGAAAAGGAUGUGGGGUUGCACAGACAACUAGGAUGUUAGCUCAGAAGCAGCUAUCAUUCA